rfam:Schistosoma curassoni strain Dakar, Senegal genome assembly, scaffold: SCTD_scaffold0008548
AUCCAGCUGACGAGUCUCAAAUAGGACGGAACUCGUGUCAGGGAU